UACGAAGGGGGCUAGCGUUGUUCGGAAUCACUGGGCGUAAAGCGCACGCAGGCGGAUUGAUAAGUCAGGGGUGAAAUCCCGGAGCUCAACUUCGGAAUUGCCUUUGAUACUGUUAAUCUCGAGUCCGGGAGAGGUGAGUGGAAUUCCUAGUGUAGAGGUGAAAUUCGUAGAUAUUAGGAAGAACACCAGUGGCGAAGGCGGCUCACUGGCCCGGUACUGACGCUCAUGUGCGAAAGCGUGGGGAGCAAACAGGGAUUAAGAAACCCCAGUACGU
rnacentral:rRNA from 1 species